GGAGUUGUAGCUCAGUGGUAGAGUGCUCGCCUAGCAUGUGUGAGGCACUGGGUUUAAACCUCGGCACCA
rnacentral:tRNA from 1 species